UGCAGUCGAGCGAGGGAGCCUAACGCUCCUUUGUGGGGUACGGCUUCCCAGCGGCAAACGGGUGAGUAACACGUGGGUGACCUGCCCCGAAGAGGGGGAUAACCCUGGGAAACUGGGGCUAAUACCCCAUGUGCUUCGUGGGGUUAAAGGACCACGAAUUAAAGGGUGUGGGUGCCGAAAGGCACCACGCCGCUUCUGGAGGGGCCCGCGGCCCAUCACGUAGUUGAUGAGGUAAUGGCCUACCAAGACUAUGACCGGUAGCCGGCCUAAUAGGAUGUCCGGCCAAAUCGGGACUGAGACACGGCCCCGACUCCUACGGGAGGCAGCAGUGGGGAAUCUUGGGCAAUGGGCGAAAGCCUGACCCACCGACGCCGCGUGGGGGAAUUAAUCCCUGCGAGGAGUAAACCCCUUUUCGGGGGGAAGAGCAAGGACGGUACCCCCGGAAUAAGGGCCGGCUAACUACGUGCCAGCAGCCGCGGUAAAACGUAGGGCCCGAGCGUUACCCGGAAUCACUGGGCGUAAAGCGCACGCAGGCGGCCUGGUAAGUCGGGCGUGAAAUCUCCCAGCCCAACUGGGAGGGGCCGUCCGAUACUGCUGGGCUUGAGGGCGGGAGAGGGAGGUGGAAUUUCCCGUGUAGCGGUGAAAU
rnacentral:rRNA from 1 species